UAAUACGAAGGGGGCUAGCGUUGUUCGGAAUCACUGGGCGUAAAGCGCACGUAGGCGGAUUGUUAAGUCGGGGGUGAAAUCCUGAGGCUCAACCUCAGAACUGCCUUCGAUACUGGCGAUCUUGAGUCCGGAAGAGGUUGGUGGAACAGCUAGUGUAGAGGUGAAAUUCGUAGAUAUUAGCUAGAACACCAGUGGCGAAGGCGGCCAACUGGUCCGGAACUGACGCUGAGGUGCGAAAGCGUGGGGAGCAAACAGGA
rnacentral:rRNA from 1 species